CCUACGGGGGGCUGCAGUGGGGAAUAUUGCACAAUGGGGGGAACCCUGAUGCAGCGACGCCGCGUGAGUGCAGAAGUAUUUCGGUAUGUAAAGCUCUAUCAGCAGGGAAGAAGAUGACGGUACCUGACUAAGAAGCCCCGGCUAACUACGUGCCAGCAGCCGCGGUAAGACGUAGGGGGCAAGCGUUAUCCGGAUAUACUGGGUGUAAAGGGAGCGUAGACGGCAGGGCAAGUCUGGAGUGAAAGCCCGGGGCCCAACCCCGGGACUGCUUUGGAAACUGCCAUGCUAGAGUGCUGGAGAGGUAAGCGGAAUUCCUAGUGUAGCGGUGAAAUGCGUAGAUAUUAGGAGGAACACCAGGGGCGAAGGCGGCUUACUGGACAGUAACUGACGUUGAGGCUCGAAAGCGUGGGGAGCAAACAGGAUUAGAUACCCUAGUAGUC
rnacentral:rRNA from 1 species